rnacentral:rRNA from 2 species
CUUUAUUGGAGAGUUUGAUCCUGGCUCAGGAUGAACGCUGGCGGCGUGCCUAAUACAUGCAAGUCGAGCGAAUGGAUUAAGAGCUUGCUCUUAUGAAGUUAGCGGCGGACGGGUGAGUAACACGUGGGUAACCUGCCCAUAAGACUGGGAUAACUCCGGGAAACCGGGGCUAAUACCGGAUAACAUUUUGAACCGCAUGGUUCGAAAUUGAAAGGCG